rnacentral:lncRNA from 10 species
GGUGUGAGCCACCGCACCUGGCCUACAUUAUCACUACUAUUUUAUUACUAUCCACCUUGACUAUUGCUGCAGCUUCCUUAUUGGGCUUUUCACCACCAGUCUUGCCUCCCUUUUCUGCUUCUUUUUCUAACUGCUGUUUGUACCCAGAUCCCCACCACGAUGACUUGUACCUCAAUGCCAGCAGCUUCCUGGCCCUGAUCAAUGGGGAAAGAGACCAUCCCAAUGCCACAGUAUGGCGGAAGAACUUUCUGCGUGUGGGCCACCUGGUGCUGAUUGGGGGCCCUGAUGAUGGUGUUAUUACUCCCUGGCAGUCCAGGUAAUAAGGGAUUUUGUGGCCUGAAGAUUGGCUAAAGACAUCCCCCAACCCCAGUUGGUCUUUAUCUCAUGCCUAAACUGGCCUGCUCCUUCCACUGUUCAGUUAGUGCUCCUCCCCCCAUUCAUCAUGUCACCCAAGACCAAAACCUGGGAGUCAUAUCCCAACCCCUUGUAUCAAGCCAGUCACUAAGUCCUGCUGACUCUUCUCCUCUCCAUCCCUAUCACCCCCUCCCCCACUUUAUAAAAACUUUUAAUUUUGAAAUUCUUAUAGAUUCAUAGGAAAUUGCAAAGAUAGUAUAGCAAGGCCCUUCACCCAGCUUCCCCCAGUGGUUGCAUCCUAUGUAAUUAUAGCACAGUAUCAAAACCAGGAAAUUCACAUUGGUUCAAUGUGUGUGUGUA